GUUUCGUUUUUUAUUUCGUAAUUGAAUGUUCAAAAAGAAUUAAAGUCUUAAAAAUAUGUUCAUGUAUACGUAGAUAUAGGAAGAUGUGGUGUGAGUGCCAAUGAGACAACUCUCCAUCCAAAUAACAAUUUAAAAAUUAAACCAUUAUAGGUAAAAGUACGGCCUUCAACACGGAGCCUUGGCUCACACCGAACAACAAGCUAUAAAGGGCCCCAAAAUUACUAGUGUAAAACCAUUCAAACGGGAAAACCAACGGUCUUAUCUAUAUAAACAAAACGAGAAACGAGAAACACGUAUAUAUUACAUAAACAAACCACAACUACUGUACAUCAGAUUCCUGACUUAGGACAGGUGCAAACAUUUGCAGCGGGAUUAAACGUUUUAAUGGGCCAAAACCUUCUCCCUUUUUCUGAAACAAUAGCAUAACAUCACAACAUAGAAAAACAUACGAU
rnacentral:lncRNA from 1 species